AUUCCUUUCUCGGCCUUUUGGCAAAGAUCAAGUGUAGUGUCUAUUCUUAUUAGUUUAAUAUCUGAUAUGUGAUAUGUGAGCCAUUGAUUCACUCUUUAUUAAAUUAAUAAUUUUUUGUGGGGAGGGCCCACUACAGUAGCUUGCUACUGUGGCCUCUAAUGGGUUGCCUUAGUGUUGCAAAUAGCCUUGGCUUGGCGCACCCCAA